rnacentral:tmRNA from 1 species
GGGGCCGACAGGUUUCGACGGCGGUUUACUUCAUCCAGCUGGCAUGUCGGGAAUGCAGAGUAUCCCGUAAAAGACCUCUGCAAAACUAUAAGUGCCAAGAAUAUAAAUCGCACUGAGUUCGUGCUUGCUGCCUAGUUAGGCGGCGCCUUACUCCCUCCGCUCAUCAAAGCCUUGGAAAAAGCGGGGAUGAUAAUUUAAAGGCUUGCCUCCGCGCCGGAGCUUACGGGCGCGGACGGGACUUUUGAAAGCUAAGCCGUCUGUAGAUUGUCUAUAGAGAUACAGAGGCUGAAAAACUGUGUAUAUAGACUACGCAUGUAGAAGGCUGG